GACGAACGCUGGCGGCGUGCCUAAUACAUGCAAGUUGAGCGCUGAAGGUUGGUACUUGUACCAACUGGAUGAGCAGCGAACGGGUGAGUAACGCGUGGGGAAUCUGCCUUUGAGCGGGGGACAACAUUUGGAAACGAAUGCUAAUACCGCAUAAAAACUUUAAACUCAAGUUUUAAGUUUGAAAGAUGCAAUUGCAUCACUCAAAGAUGAUCCCGCGUUGUAUUAGCUAGUUGGUGAGGUAAAGGCUCACCAAGGCGAUGAUACAUAGCCGACCUGAGAGGGUGAUCGGCCACAUUGGGACUGAGACACGGCCCAAACUCCUACGGGAGGCAGCAGUAGGGAAUCUUCGGCAAUGGACGAAAGUCUGACCGAGCAACGCCGCGUGAGUGAAGAAGGGUUUCGGAUCGUAAAACUCUGUUGGUAGAGAAGAACGUUGGUGAGAGUGGAAAGCUCAUCAAGUGACGGUAACUACCCAGAAAGGGACGGCUAACUACGUG
rnacentral:rRNA from 1 species